CAGCGGCAUGGUCCUGGUUCCAUUUUUGUUGCUCUUCCAGGAGUCGUCCAUGUUCUGCUUGCGUGUUCUGGAUGUCGAGGAGGGUAUUGUCGGUACGGGUGAAGAAAGCACCGGCCUCUUGAUAGUAGUCAUUCGUGAAAGCGUAGGAGGCGUUGGAGAAUCGUCCUGCAUCAAAUUGGGGCAGAGGUUUGGAUCCUGAAGCUCCAUAUGGAUCACCGGCCAUGUCUCCUCUGUUGGCUCUUGUAUGGAAAGGUGGGUUUGUCCACUGGUGAUCUUGGCUCUCCGGCCAUGUCUCCUCUGUUGGCUCUUGUGGUUGCGCAUGUCAAACCCAUGGGUCUCGAAGGACUCGGGGGUUGUAAUCGCAAUAAUGCAGGUGCACUGCUUCUUCUAGCCCGGGAUCAGCUCCAUACCAGGUGCGUU
rnacentral:lncRNA from 1 species